UACGUAGGGUGCAGGCGUUAAUCGGAAUUACUGGGCGUAAAGCGCGUGUAGGCUGCUUUGCAAGUCGGGUGUGAAAGCCCCGGGCUCAACCUGGGAAGUGCACUCGAAACUGCAGAGCUCGAGUCCUGGAGAGGAAGGCGGAAUUCUCGGUGUAGAGGUGAAAUUCGUAGAUAUCGAGAGGAACACCGGUGGCGAAGGCGGCCUUCUGGACAGUGACUGACGCUGAGACGCGAAAGCGUGGGGAGCAAACAGG
rnacentral:rRNA from 1 species